GUGGGGAAUCUUGCGCAAUGGGCGAAAGCCUGAUCCAGCCAUGCCGCGUGUGUGAAGAAGGUCUUCGGAUUGUAAAGCACUUUAAGUUGGGAGGAAGGGCAGUAAGUUAAUACCUUGCUGUUUUGACGUUACCGACAGAAUAAGCACCGGCUAACUUCGUGCCAGCAGCCGCGGUAAUACGAAGGGUGCAAGCGUUAAUCGGAAUUACUGGGCGUAAAGCGCGCGUAGGUGGUUUUGUAAGUUGGAGGUGAAAUCCCCGGGCUCAACCUGGGAACUGCCUCCAAAACUGCAUGACUAGAGUACGGUAGAGGGUAGUGGAAUUUCCUGUGUAGCGGUGAAAUGCGUAGAUAUAGGAAGGAACACCAGUGGCGAAGGCGACUACCUGGACUGAUACUGACACUGAGGUGCGAAAGCGUGGGGAGCAAACAGGAUUAGAUACCCCGGUAGUCC
rnacentral:rRNA from 1 species